ACGGGUGAGUAAUACAUCGGAACGUGUCCUGGAGUGGGGGAUAGCCCGGCGAAAGCCGGAUUAAUACCGCAUACGAUCUCUGGAUGAAAGCGGGGGACCGAAAGGCCUCGCGCUCAAGGGGCGGCCGAUGGCAGAUUGGCUAGUUGGUGGGGUAAAGGCCUACCAAGGCGACGAUCUGUAGCUGGUCUGAGAGGACGACCAGCCACACUGGGACUGAGACACGGCCCAGACUCCUACGGGAGGCAGCAGUGGGGAAUUUUGGACAAUGGGGGCAACCCUGAUCCAGCAAUGCCGCGUGUGUGAAGAAGGCCUUCGGGUUGUAAAGCACUUUUGUCCGGAAAGAAAACCGCUUCUCUAAUACAGAGGUGGGAUGACGGUACCGGAAGAAUAAGCACCGGCUAACUACGUGCCAGCAGCCGCGGUAAUACGUAGGGUGCGAGCGUUAAUCGGAAUUACUGGGCGUAAAGCGUGCGCAGGCGGUUCGCUAAGACCGAUGUGAAAUCCCCGGGCUUAACCUGGGAACUGCAUUGGUGACUGGCGGGCUAGAGUAUGGCAGAGGGGGGUAGAAUUCCACGUGUAGCAG
rnacentral:rRNA from 1 species